AAAGGACAGCAGCAGAAUAGUGUGUGACAUUAUUGACGUGAACUGUUACCGUAUAGAUCAUUGUUGCAACCAGGGUUCUAUGGUUGCACCAGGUCUUGUACAGAGGAGGUCAAGUAUGAUGUCUAUGGAAAGGUUGUAGUUUGCUGGUUAUGAU